GCUAUUUAUAUUUGUUCCUAAUGAGGUGAGAUUUCUCUCCGCCAUAGCAACGGUCUCUAUGGAUACCCUGCACUUGGAUACCAGAUCCCAUCCUGUUUUAAAUCUCUUAUUAUGGGCUGCGCCUUUCCCCCCGUGUAUCGUAGCCUAAUUAAUUCUGAAUUAUCGCCCGUCGUUUGUGUGAACGGUGCAGAAAACGCCCUCGAAUUGCCACCGAGAUGACGGCAUCAGCACGAGUUUAGAUCACAAAAGCCACAGAUGACUGUCGUGCGACCGGUCAAUAUUUGGCGUCAAGUAGAUCAAUGUUGGAGCACUCGGGCGCGCAACCUGAUGCACGGCUCGUUUUUUUUUGUUUUGUCGUUUUGGUUUUUUUUUUUUUACUUCGGGAGUACUACAGGUGCCCUUAUUAUUAGAUGUGAAGUGCGCGCACAUACACACACACACGGUAGUAUCUGUCUUAGCUGCUGUAGAGACUCUGAUGUGUUGUGCUAUUUAUCAGGUCUGAGCCGAGUUGAAGGAGCCGGUUGUGGCGCAAGACCCAGGCAGCCGAGCUCAGAUCAUUAGAGGCGCUCUCUGCGGCGCAGGGUCGCACAGGUGUUGAGGCCCGCCAUCUCAUUUCCCGCCACAAAGCGAGACAACCAAUCAAUAAAGAAGAAGCGGCAGAGCAGCUUCUGGGGGGAAAAGCCACAGCAGUGAGAGCACGCUCGCUCGCACGCGCACACACAAACACACACACACACACACACACACGCAUUCGGAUGGUCUAUGUGUCUUUGUAUUAACAGUAAGGCUCGGAGAUGUUCCCCUCCUGCCUUCCGAUGACAGACGCUCCAAGACAGCUGCAUGCACAUGUACUCACGCAGAUACACACUUGAGACUGACGUGAUGUUAUGAGACGUUUAUGAGCCAAGAGAUACUGACCAGCGAAGACAACUCACUGCCAACGAUUUGCGGCUUGGACAGCAAGGACAGACGAAUGGUAAGCAAAAACAGAUGAGCCAGGGGAGAGGGGAAAAAAAAACGGAGGGGAGAGCAGCUGAGGAUACAAAAAGACAGGUGGUAUUACAAAAAAAAAAAGCUUAGGAGCAAAGGAAAAUAUGAUGAAGGGAGUCUGAUAGGAAGGAAAACAAAGGAUAGGAGAGCGCUCAGGGAAAGUAAAGUGAAAUAUGGGGAGGAUCUUUUUUUUUUUUUUUUUUUUUUUAAGAGUUGAGCUGAGAGGAACUCGAGAAGACAGAUUAGACAGAGAGAAGAGAGGGGAAAAUGGAAAGAGGUGGAGUGAUGGAUGCAGGCAGGGGACCAGCAGCUCUCUGCCAACAUCUCCAUGCAUCCUUCCAGACAUCACACUGCGCUGCCAUCUGCCUCCCUGCCACACACACACACACACACACACAGACACACACACACACACACACACACACACACAGAGGGAGGAGAUAUGUGAAAUCAUUAGCGUCUCCUGACACUGAAUAAAUAUCUGGGGAUGAAAUCUGUCUGUGGAGAAAUCACCUGCGGGGAAAUAUGAUUGGAUGAGAUCACGACCUCGCUGGAACGUAAUUUGCAUGUCAUCUAAAUGGGCUCUGCCCCCAAUGCUCAGGAGGUCAAAAGGCGUCCGAUUAGUCGGAUGGCACAACUCACUCUCUGAUUGGCUGAAAGGAGCAACAAUGCAAGUGAACUCCUGCUCAGCUGGCUGCUUCCUCUGUGAGCUGCAGGACUGCCCUCUUCUGGCUGCUUUACAAACCUCCAGUUUGAUUAAUAAAAAAACAUUUAAAAAAAAAAACAAGACACAAUCAACACAUCCAACAUUUAAAGACAGACAGAUUCUGGCUGGCAGUUGUUGUUUUUAAUCACAUUAGAGCUGAGGAAUAAAAAUAAACACAAAGAGCAUGAGAGGGCAGCACACAGAGUGUCUCAGUUAACAGAGUCUUAUUUAUACAUAUAUUUAUAUAAUAGAAUCAUUUCUCCCACUUAAACAGCCUCUGAUUGUAACACAGAAAUAUACCAACGUUCCCUGGGUGAGAGAGAAGAGAAAAAGAGCAAAAAACAACCAGACCAGAACUCUCAACAGUCUUCAUCUACAUUAGAAAACCUACAGGCCAUUCGUUUUUAUAGGUUUAUAUAUCAGCGAGGCAUCAGUAUUCAUUACAAAAAUAGGAAUAUAGUUGAUAUAGAAGCACUGGGGGUUGACUGAGUGGGUGGGGGAGUGAGGAUGUGGCUGUGGCCUCCCAUCAGUGGCAUGACUAGUAAUGACCACCCAUCCGCCCACUCAACAAAUCCACCCGGCCCAGGAAACAUCCUAGGGUUCUGUGCGCCUCCAUGAGUGUUGUGCAGCAGUCCAGCCCAGACAAAGAGUCAGUUAUCAAUGGAAACCAGUUAGGGUUUAAAUUAAACCAUUAACAAAAAAAAACAUUAGAAAAUGAGUACAUAAAAAACAACCGUACAGGCAAAAGGAGGGGGUUAGUGCAUCGAUGAAUAUGAAACAGUUCAAGAAAAGUGCCGUCAGAACCAAGAAAACAUGAUCUAGGAAAGGAAAAGGGAGUGCGCGAUGAGGAGGA